CAACCAUAACACUCAUCACAACAACUGUGUGAAUACAACCAUAACAUAGUAUUAAUGGUAUUAUUAAUAAAAACCUGCAAACACACUUACAUUUCUGUAAGCCUGGUCUGGUCCUGCACUCUCCACCGUGGUCCACACUACAGGAGAAGCAGAAUGACAUAGUACUGCUGUAUCCAUUUAUUUAUUGGUGCCUCUUCUUCACAUACAUGCAUAAGUAUCUGUAGCGUGUCAGACACACACUCUGUACUCACUGCAGCUUCUCCAGUUUACAGCUGGGAUCCUCCAGUACAGCAGAGAGCAGCUUCACUCCUGAGUCUCCUGGGUGAUUGUAGCUCAGGUCCAGCUCUCUCAGGUGUGAGGGGUUUGACCUCAGAGCUGAAGCCAGCGAAGAACAGCCUUCUUCUGUGACUCUACAGCCUGACAGCCUGCAGAGAGACAGACAAAAACUCUCAAAUAAAUAAGAUCACCUCACCUAUACAAGUAUUACUUUCAAGUAAAUGUGAGUAUUUUCAUACAAUGUGAGUCAUUUCAACAUUUACAGUUAAAAGUGUAGAAUAUUAUGUAACAUUGACCUCAGUGUCCCCAGUUUAGGAUAGAAUACCCAGUAAAACUGAUCUCCAGUUUACAGUGUGGAAUAUCCAGUAAUACAGACCUCAGUAUGUCCAGUUUACAGGGGGAAUACCCAGUAAUACUUACCUCGGUAUCUCCAGUUUACAGUGGGAAUACGCAGUAAUACAGACGUCAGUAUGUCCAGUUUACAGUGAGAAUACCUAGUAAUACAGACCUCAGUAUGUCUAGUUUACAGUGUGGUGUACCCAGUAAUACUGACCUCAGUAUCUCCAGUGUACAGUGUGAAUCCCCCAGUCCAGUAGAGAGCAGCUUCACUCCUGAAUCCUGCAGGUCAUUGUCACUCAGGUCCAGCUCUCUCAGGUGUGAGGAGUUUGAUCUGAGAGCUGAAGCCAGCACCUCACAGCAUUCCUCUGUGAGUUCACACCGGUCCACCCUUAGGAAAAAAACACUUAUAAAACCACCUUUUGCAUUGGUGCUCUGUACGUGAGCCAUCACUGUCAUCACAGAAGAGUUUUUGUAAAACAAUGAAUUUAUUGUACAGUAUAUAAAAAUAUUUAAGUUCUAAACUGCAACAUGACUGUCACUUUCCUUUGUCUAUUAGCUCUGCUGACCAACACAAACCAUGUGCUAAGAACGACUGGCUUUCUGCUUUACUGCUUAAUUAUUUCUAACGUGGUUUACAGCUGAUUAGUUUGCGGGAUUUUAGGAGGUAGGAGAAGAACAAAGAAUCUGUUUGUGUUUGUUUAUUAUGUUGCUGUUUAAGUGCAUUAUGGGUCAUCCUGCCAAACGUCUUUUUGGGAAACACAUUUUCUGUAAUAGGGUAAUUAUUGUUAACUAAAAUAAAAUUGAAAAAUUAGAAAACAUUUUCAUAAAAAAUACUACUUAGCUAAAGUACUGGUAUGUUUGUCUUUAAUUACCAUCAAUCCCUGGAACAGCAAUGGUCAGCUCUCAGCCUUAAAAUUAUAGCGUUAGAUCAAUGGGUAACGCUUGAGAGAGGUAUUCCAUGUCAGUAUGGUGUUAGAUCAGUGGGUAACGCUUGAGGGAGGUUAUCCAUGACAGUAUGGUGUUAGAUCAGUGGGAAACGCUUGAGAGAGGUUAUCCAUGACAGUAUGGUAUUAGAUCAGUGGGUAAUGUUUGAGGGAGGAUAUCCAUGACAGUAUGGUAUUAGAUCAGUGGGUAACAUUUGAGGGAGGUUAUCCAUGACAGUAUGGUAUUAGAUCAGUGGGUAACAUUUGAGGGAGGUAUUCCAUGUCAGUAUGGUGUUAGAUCAGUGGGUAACGCUUGAGGGAGGUUAUCCAUGACAGUAUGGUAUUAGAUCAGUGGGUAACAUUUGAGGGAGGUUAUCCAUGACAGUAUGGUAUUAGAUCAGUAUGUAACGCUUGAGGGAGGGUAUCCAUGACAUUAUGGUAUUAGAUCAAUGGGUAACACUUGAGGGAGGGUAUCCAUGACAGUAUAGUAUUAGAUCAGUGGGUAACGUUUGAGGGAGGUUAUCCAUGACAGUAUGGUAUUAGAUCAGUGGGUAACAUUUGAGGGAGGUACUCCAUGUCAGUAUGGUGUUAGAUCAGUGGGUAACGCUUGGGGGAGGUAUUCCCUGUCAGUAUGGUGUUAGAUCAGUGGGUAACGCUUGAGGGAGGUUAUCCAUGACAGUAUGGUGUUAGAUCAGUGGGUAACGCUUGAGGGAGGUUAUCCAUGACAGUAUGGUGUUAGAUCAAUGGGUAACGUUAGAGGGAGGUUAUCCAUGACAGUAUGGUAAGUUGGUUGACAACGUCAUGGUAACUGAUGGUGUUUAUAAGGGCACCAGAGCACCCAGGCCGCGGCUCCGUGGUCGACUACGUCAUGGUAACUGAUGGGACUGGCACUUGGUCACUUUUAAUAUCCGUUCUUAAAUGUUUCAUGUUCUUUUUAUUAUGUUCAUUUUCACAUGUAUUCCUACACUUUUACUUUGUCUAUUUUUACAUUUUGCACUUUGUUUCUUAUAUUUUCUGUAAAGCACUUUGAAUGACCUUGAUGUAUGAACAUGUGCUAGACAAAGAAACUUGACUUGAACUGAAAUUAAAUGUUCACUCUCUACUCACUUCAGUUUCUCCAGUUUACAGCUGGGAUCCUCCAGUACAGCAGAGAGCAGCUUCACUCCUGAGUCUCCUGGGUGAUUGUAGCUCAGGUCCAGCUCUCUCAGGUGUGAGGGGUUUGACCUCAGAGCUGAAGCCAGGGAAGAACAGCCUUCUUCUGUGACUCUACAGAAUGACAGCCUGCAGAGAGACAGACAAAAACUCUCAGAUAAAUAAGAUUACCUCAUGAUUACAAGUAUUACUUUCAAGUAAAUGUGAGUAUUUUCAUGCAAUGUGAGUCAUUUCAACAUUUACAGUUAAAAGUGUGGAAUACCCAGUAAUACUGACCUCAGUAUCUCCAGUUUACAGCUGGGAUCCUCCAGUCCAGCAGAGAGCAGCUUCACUCCUGAAUCCUGCAGGUCAUUGUCACUCAGGUCCAGCUCUCUCAGGUGUGAGGGGUUUGACCUCAGAGCUGAAGCCAGG